rnacentral:rRNA from 1 species
UCCGUAGGUGAACCUGCGGAGGGAUCAUUACAGAGUUACUACUCCAAACCCAUUGUGAACCUUACCUAUGUUCUGUUGCCUCGGCGGCGUGGUCAGCGCCCCUCUGAAAAGAGGACGAUGCCCUCCCGCCGGCAGCACCAAACUCUUUGAAUUUUACAGCGGAUUACAGUUCUGAUUUGAAAACAAAAAAACAAGUUAAAACUUUCAACAACGGAUCUCUUGGUUCUGGCAUCGAUGAAGAACGCAGCGAAAUGCGAUAAGUAAUGUGAAUUGCAGAAUUCAGUGAAUCAUCGAAUCUUUGAACGCACAUUGCGCCCGGCAGUAAUCUGCCGGGCAUGCCUGUCCGAGCGUCAUUUCAACCCUCGAACCUCCGUUUCCUCAGGGAAGCUCAGGGUCGGUGUUGGGGCGCUACGGCGAGUCUUCGCGACCCUCCGUAGGCCCUGAAAUACAGUGGCGGUCCCGCCGCGGUUGCCUUCUGCGUAGUAAGUCUCUUUUGCAAGCUCGCAUUGGGUCCCGGCGGAGGCCUGCCGUCAAACCACCUAUAACUCCAGAUGGUUUGACCUCGGAUCAGGUAGGGUUACCCGCUGAACUUAAGCAUAUCAAUAAGCGGAGGA